AGCUACAGUUACUUUUGCACCA
rnacentral:miRNA from 1 species